UACGGAGGAUCCAAGCGUUAUCCGGAUUUAUUGGGUUUAAAGGGUGCGUAGGCGGAUUGGUAAGUCAGUGGUGAAAUCCUACAGCUUAACUGUAGAACUGCCAUUGAUACUAUCAGUCUUGAGUACAUUUGAAGUGGGCGGAAUGUGUCAUGUAGCGGUGAAAUGCUUAGAGAUGACACAGAACACCGAUAGCGAAGGCAGCUCACUAAACUGUAACUGACGCUGAUGCACGAAAGCGUGGGGAUCAAACAGGAUUAGAUACCCUGGUAGUCCACGCCGUAAACGAUGAUUACUCGAUGUGUGCGAUACACUGUACGCGUCUAAGGGAAACCGAUAAGUAAUCCACCUGGGGAGUACGAUCGCAAGAUUGAA
rnacentral:rRNA from 1 species